GCUGGGUGUGGUGGUGCACACCUGUAAUCCCAGCAGCUCAGGAGGCUGAGGCAGGAGGAUGCUGACUUCAAAGUCAGCCUCAGCAACUUAGCAAGGCCCUAUGCCCUAAUGAGACCCUGUCUCUA
rnacentral:sRNA from 1 species